rnacentral:rRNA from 1 species
GGAUUAUUUUUAUCACCCUUGUCUUUUGCGCACUUGUUGUUUCCUGGGCGGGUUCGCCCGCCACCAGGACCACACCAUAAACCUUUUUUAUGCAGUUGCAAUCAGCGUCAGUAUAACAAAUGUAAAUCAUUUACAACUUUCAACAACGGAUCUCUUGGUUCUGGCAUCGAUGAAGAACGCAGCGAAAUGCGAUACGUAGUGUGAAUUGCAGAAUUCAGUGAAUCAUCGAAUCUUUGAACGCACAUUGCGCCCUUUGGUAUUCCAAAGGGCAUGCCUGUUCGAGCGUCAUUUGUACCCUCAAGCUUUGCUUGGUGUUGGGCGUCUUUUGUCUUUGGCCUCGCCCAAAGACUCGCCUUAAAACGAUUGGCAGCCGGCCUACUGGUUUCGCAGCGCAGCACAUUUUUGCGCUUGCAAUCAGCACAAGGACGGCAAUCCAUCAAGACUACAUUUUUACGUUUGACCUCGGAUCAGGUAGGGAUACCCGCUGAACUUAAGCAUAU